CAAUAGCGUAUAUUAAAGUUGUUGCGGUUAAAAAGCUCGUAGUUGGAUUUCUGCUGAGAACGACCGGUCCGCCUUUUGGGUGUGUAUCUGGCUCUUUCUUGGCAUCUUCUUGGUGAACGUUGCUGCACUUGACUGUGUGGAGCGCUACCCAGGACUUUUACUUUGAGGAAAUUAGAGUGUUUCAAGCAGGCAUACGCCUUGAAUACAUUAGCAUGGAAUAAUAAGAUAGGACCUCGGUUCUAUUUUGUUGGUUUCUAGAGCUGAGGUAAUGAUUAAUAGGGAUAGUUGGGGGCAUUCGUAUUUAACUGUCAGAGGUGAAAUUCUUGGAUUUGUUAAAGACGGACUACUGCGAAANCANNNGCCAAGGAUGUUUUCAUNGA
rnacentral:rRNA from 1 species